rnacentral:misc_RNA from 1 species
AUGUAAAAGCACUUUCCUAUUUGUUGUUGCACUUCUACGCUUAAGCGAGCGCUUUUUGCGCUUUUGGCUACACUGUGAUUCUCUUACAAAAUUUAACUGAAAUCCUCAGUUUUUUCUUGUAAUUUGACUCAAAUUAUAAUAGAUUUAUAACUUAAAUGCCUAAAAUAGCUAGGUUGCAUAUAUAUUAUAGGUUCUAAGACUAUUUAUUCCUUUAAUGACAUCCUCUUUGGCAGCUAAUAAAAUUUGGAAAUAUAAGGUCUCACUUAAAGAUGAGGCUUGUUAGCAGUUAUCAAUAAGAUAGACUAUUUGCAAAAAUGGAGACCCAUCUAGACCUUAUCUCUUGAUUGGUGUGUCAAGAGCCAUAAGCAUGGCGAAAUUCAUUUUCAUUUGUUGUUACAUUGUUUGGUGGUUUGGUUUAUUUGGUAUUGACAUUG